GACGAACGCUGGCGGCGUGCUUAACACAUGCAAGUCGAACGAAGUGGCGCACGGGUGAGUAACGUGUAAUCAACCUGCCCUUCAGGGGGGGACAACAGUUGGAAACGACUGCUAAUACCGCAUACUGACGGUGGGGAUUGCGUCUGAUUGGCUAGGUGGCGGGGUAACGGCCCACCAAGGCGAUGACCAGUAGCCGGUCGGAGGGGGGGAACGGGCACAUGUGGACUGAGAAACAGCCCAGACUUCUACGGGAGGCAGCAGUGGGGAAACUUCCGCAAUGGACGAAAGGCCUACGGAGCAACGGCGCGUGAGUUAAAACGGGCUUCGGGUUGGAAAGCUCUGUUAAUCGGGACGCGGUACCGGAAUAGAAAGCCACGGCUAACUACGUGCCAGCAGCCGCGGUAAUUC
rnacentral:rRNA from 1 species